UCACAAGCUGUCCGUUUUUAGUAGAGAAUUCAGGAAGUAGUAGUCAUAAAAUUUACAGUUGAGAAUAAGCAACCUGCUGCCUAGUCUUGUGGCAUUUUAGAUCUAAUCACAGAAAAUAGACAUUAUUUUCCGUUGCACUUUUAAGUGCUCAGAAACCAAUAAAAAGAGACAAUAACUUCCUUUUAUGCACUAAAAAUUACCUUUUUUUUUUUUUUUUUUUUUUUUUUUUAGGGGGAAAAGGAGGAGGAAUGGACUCCUUCAUGCGCUUUCAGAUUUUGAGCACUGCUGUAGCUCUUACAGGUAGGACGCUGAAAGAAACUGUGCUGAGAUAGAGACACAGAAUAUCUUUUUUUCAGCAGGACCUCCUGGUGCUCUCUGCUCUGGCACCUGACUCAAAGCAACUUCAACCCCGAGGCAGAUUCCACUCCGGAGCUGAGUGAGGUUGCUCAAGGCCUGGCCCAGUCAAAACCUUGGCUGUGUCUUCCAGCCUCUCCAGACACCCCAGUGGCUCUUGUGCCUCAUCAGGACCGCUCAGGAGAUCAGGAUAAAACAUUAGAGCAUUGGUAUCCUCAGUGCUUCCUAGAGGGAUUAACACCACCUAACUGCUCCUGUCCAUUAUUGCCGAGUUCAAAGGACGGUUGGCGCUGGCCCUGCCUGAAAGAAAUAUCAGCGUGUGGUCCAUGGUCCUUUCCCUGUUUGGUAAAAUACUUUCCAUGGGAAGACAUGCAAAAAUGA
rnacentral:lncRNA from 1 species